rnacentral:tRNA from 1 species
GCUCCGGUAGUGUAGUCCGGUUAAGCAUAGUGCCCUCUCAAGGCAUUGACCCGGGUUCAAAUCCCGGCCGGAGCA